GGGAAUGUGGCUUAGUAGGAGAGUACUUGCCUAGCAUGUAUGAAGCCAGGAAUUUGAUUCCUCAAUUCCA
rnacentral:tRNA from 1 species